GUGAACAUGACUGUGAUGAAAAUUCUACUUUCUGGUUUCCUGGGUUAGACAUUCACCAACCUGUGGAAGAAAGACAUGAAAAUUAUAGCAACAACCAAGUUACAGACUCUCCGAACAAUACAAAUCUGGACAGAUCACUUUGUAAUCCUUAGAGAUCAUCUUAUGUACACCUGUGUUUGAUAUAUGAGGAGUGGAGGCCAGAGACACUAACACCUGGAUCCUUGGUGACAGAACAUGUGGGAAGCAGGGCUGGACCAGAUUCUGAGGUACACCCUUUCUGGCCCUUUGCUUUUUCUCUGCCUGUGCUCACAUAAUAUUUUACUAAACUAGGUUCUUUUACUACCAUUUCAAAGUAACAAA
rnacentral:lncRNA from 1 species